rnacentral:rRNA from 1 species
GACGAACGCUGGCGGCGUGCUUAACACAUGCAAGUCGAACGGAAAGGCCCUGCUUGCAGGGUACUCGAGUGGCGAACGGGUGAGUAACACGUGGGUGAUCUGCCCUGCACUUCGGGAUAAGCCUGGGAAACUGGGUCUAAUACCGGAUAGGAGCCAUUUUUAGUGUGAUGGUUGGAAAGUUUUUUCGGUGUAGGGUGAGCUCGCGGCCUAUCAGCUUGUUGGUGGGGUAAUGGCCUACCAAGGCGGCGACGGGUAGCCGGCCUGAGAGGGUGGACGGCCACAUUGGGACUGAGAUACGGCCCAGACUCCUACGGGAGGCAGCAGUGGGGAAUAUUGCACAAUGGGCGCAAGCCUGAUGCAGCGACGCCGCGUGGAGGAUGACGGCCUUCGGGUUGUAAACUCCUUUCGCUAGGGACGAAGCUUUUUGUGACGGUACCUAGAUAAGAAGCACCGGCUAACUACGUG